GACGAACGCUGGCGGCGUGCUUAACACAUGCAAGUCGAACGAUGAAACCUAGCUUGCUAGGUCGAUUGGUGGCGAACGGGUGAGUAACACGUGACUAACCUGCCCCUUUCUCUGGGAUAACGCUCCGAAAGGAGUGCUAAUACCGGAUACUCACACCGAGGCACAUGCCUUGGUGUGGAAAGUUUUUCGGAAAGGGAUGGAGUCGCGGCCUAUCAGCUUGUUGGUGAGGUAACGGCUCACCAAGGCGACGACGGGUAGCCGGCCUGAGAGGGGGACCGGCCACACUGGGACUGAGACACGGCCCAGACUCCUACGGGAGGCAGCAGUGGGGAAUAUUGCACAAUGGGCGCAAGCCUGAUGCAGCGACGCCGCGUGAGGGAUGAAGGUCUUCGGAUUGUAAACCUCUUUCAGUAGGGACGAAGCGAAAGUGACGGUACCUAAAGAAGAAGCACCGGCUAACUACGUGCCAGCCGCCGCAGUAA
rnacentral:rRNA from 1 species